CGAAUGCUGACAUAAGUAACGAUAAAGCGGGUGAAAAGCCCGCUCGCCGGAAGACCAAGGGUUCCUGUCCAACGUUAAUCGGGGCAGGGUGAGUCGACCCCUAAGGCGAGGCCGAAAGGCGUAGUCGAUGGGAAACAGGUUAAUAUUCCUGUACUUGGUGUUACUGCGAAGGGGGGACGGAGAAGGCUAUGUUGGCCGGGCGACGGUUGUCCCGGUUUAAGCGUGUAGGCUGGUUUUCCAGGCAAAUCCGGAAAAUCAAGGCUGAGGCGUGAUGACGAGGCACUACGGUGCUGAAGCAACAAAUGCCCUGCUUCCAGGAAAAGCCUCUAAGCAUCAGGUAACAUCAAAUCGUACCCCAAACCGACACAGGUGGUCAGGUAGAGAAUACCAAGGCGCUUGAGAGAACUCGGGUGAAGGAACUAGGCAAAAUGGUGCCGUAACUUCGGGAGAAGGCACGCUGAUAUGUAGGUGAAGUCCCUCGCGGAUGGAGCUGAAAUCAGUCGAAGAUACCAGCUGGCUGCAACUGUUUAUUAAAAACACAGCACUGUGCAAACACGAAAGUGGACGUAUACGGUGUGACGCCUGCCCGGUGCCGGAAGGUUAAUUGAUG
rnacentral:rRNA from 1 species